rnacentral:rRNA from 1 species
UACGGGGGGGGCAAGCGUUGUUCGGAAUUACUGGGCGUAAAGGGCUCGUAGGCGGCCAACUAAGUCAGACGUGAAAUCCCUCGGCUUAACCGGGGAACUGCGUCUGAUACUGGAUGGCUUGAGUUUGGGAGAGGGAUGCGGAAUUCCAGGUGUAGCGGUGAAAUGCGUAGAUAUCGGGAGGAACACCAGUAGCGAAGGCGGCACUCUGGGCCGGUACUGACGCUGAGGAGCGAAAGCGUGGGGAGCAAACAGG